CAGCCGCCGCGGUAACACCAGCCCCUCGAGUGGUGGGGACUAUUAUUUGGCCUAAAGCGUCCGUAGCCGGCUGCAGCCGUCACCCGUUGAAUCCAGCGUCUCAAGCGUUGGACUGCGGGUGAUACCCUGCAGCUUGAGGGUGGGACAGGUUAGCGGUAUUCCCGGGGUAGGGGCGAAAUCCUUUGAUCCCGGGAGGACCACCAGUGGCGAAGGCUGCUGACUAGAACACGCCUGACGGUCAGGGACGAAAGCUGGGGUAGCGAACCGGAUUAGAUACCCGGGUAGUCCCAGCUGUAAACGAUGCACGCUAGGUGUUGGGUCGGCCACGCGCCGCCCCAGUGCCGCAGGGAAGCCGUUAAGCGUGCCGCCUGGGGAGUACGGCCGCAAGGCUGAAACUUAAAGGAAUUGGCGGGGGAGCAC
rnacentral:rRNA from 1 species